GGUGAGUAACACGUGGAUAACCUACCUAUAAGACUGGGAUAACUUCGGGAAACCGGAGCUAAUACCGGAUAAUAUUUUGAACCGCAUGGUUCAAAAGUGAAAGACGGUCUUGCUGUCACUUACAGAUGGAUCCGCGCUGCAUUAGCUAGUUGGUAAGGUAACGGCUUACCAAGGCAACGAUGCAUAGCCGACCUGAGAGGGUGAUCGGCCACACUGGAACUGAGACACGGUCCAG
rnacentral:rRNA from 1 species